GAGGGUAUAGCUCAGUGGUUAGAGUGCAUGUCUAGCAUGCACGAGGUCCUGGGUUCGAUCCUCAGUACCUCCA
rnacentral:tRNA from 1 species